rnacentral:rRNA from 1 species
UCAGAACGACUCUCGGCAACGGAUAUCUCGGCUCUCGCAUCGAUGAAGAACGUAGCAAAACGCGAUAUUUGGUGUGAAUUGCAGAAUCCCGUGAACCAUCGAGUUUUUGAACGCAAGUUGCGCCCGAAGCCAUUAAGCCGAGGGCACUUCUGCAUGGGCGUCAC